rnacentral:rRNA from 1 species
UUGGGAGCUUACUGGCUUCAGAGUCAUGGAACUCCGAAGUUAAGGGAGUUGGGGCUAGAGCAAUCCCAGGAUGGGUGACGCAUUGGGAAGUUGCCGUGAGUUCCCAAA